UCUCCGUUGGUGAACCAGCGGAGGGAUCAUUACAACAAGGUUCCCUGGCCCUCCAAGCUUCGGCGGAAGGGGGCCACAGCCUGACUUUAUACCCACCCUUUGCCUAUGUGUACCCCUAUUGCUUCCCUCGGCGGGUUCGCCCGCCGACAGGAACCAACUAAACCCUUUGCAUUAUACAUUUAACACUUCCGAUACAAAACUAAAUUAUUACAACUUUUAACAAUGGAUCUCUUGGUUCUGGCAUCGAUGAAGAACGCAGC
rnacentral:misc_RNA from 1 species